rnacentral:rRNA from 1 species
UACGUAGGGUGCGAGCGUUAAUCGGAAUUACUGGGCGUAAAGCGUGCGCAGGCGGUUCGUUAAGUCAGAUGUGAAAGCCCCGGGCUCAACCUGGGAACUGCAUUUGAAACUGGCGGGCUUGAGUGUGGCAGAGGGGGGUGGAAUUCCGCGUGUAGCAGUGAAAUGCGUAGAGAUGCGUAGGAACACCGAUGGCGAAGGCAGCCCCCUGGGCCAACACUGACGCUCAGGCACGAAAGCGUGGGGAGCAAACAGG